rnacentral:rRNA from 1 species
UACGGAGGGUGCGAGCGUUAAUCGGAAUUACUGGGCGUAAAGCGCGCGUAGGCGGUUUGAUAAGUCUGAUGUGAAAGCCCUGGGCUUAACCUGGGAACGGCAUUGGAUACUGUCCGACUGGAGUGUGGUAGAGGGGUGUGGAAUUUCCGGUGUAGCAGUGAAAUGCGUAGAGAUCGGAGGGAACACCAGUGGCGAAGGCGACUUCCUGGACUGUAACUGACACUGAGGCAUGAAAGCGUGGGGAGCAAAC